AAAUGACAAAGAAAUUUGUCGAACUCCCUGUUUUACUGGAAAUUUCACAUUUAUUUAACAUUUUCAAUUUAUUUAUGAGGACAUGUCUGUUUUUAGAUCUUUGACUAUGGGUCAAUGUUUUUGAUGUAUGCCUUAUUCAUACAGUUUAUCUAGAAGAAUGAUGUGCGGAACUACGUCAAAUGCAGUUUGGCUGUUUACCACUAUCAUAUAUAAGGGUUUUAAAGUUACGUGUAUAGAUUCUGCUUUACAUUCUGAUACGAAAAAGGCAGCUAUAAGCAUAGAGAGAUCUUCUUUCAAACCAAAUUGCAUGUCUGCUUGAAUAAAUUGGUUUGGUAAUUCCAAUUUUGUAGAAAAGUG
rnacentral:lncRNA from 1 species